GACGAACGCUGGCGGCGUGCUUAACACAUGCAAGUCGAACGGUGAAGCUCCAGCUUGCUGGAGUGGAUCAGUGGCGAACGGGUGAGUAACACGUGAGCAACCUGCCCCUGACUCUGGAAUAAGCGCUGGAAACGGCGUCUAAUACUGGAUACGAGAAGGGUCCGCAUGGGCACUUUCUGGAAAGUUUUUCGGUUGGGGAUGGGCUCGCGGCCUAUCAGCUUGUUGGUGAGGUAAUGGCUCACCAAGGCGACGACGGGUAGCCGGCCUGAGAGGGCGACCGGCCACACUGGGACUGAGACACGGCCCAGACUCCUACGGGAGGCAGCAGUGGGGAAUAUUGCACAAUGGGCGAAAGCCUGAUGCAGCGACGCCGCGUGAGGGAUGACGGCCUUCGGGUUGUAAACCUCAUUCAGCAGGGAAGAAGCGAAAGUGACGGUACCUGCAGAAGAAGCACCGGCUAACUACGUG
rnacentral:rRNA from 1 species